rnacentral:rRNA from 1 species
CAGUAGCCGCGGUAAAACGUAGGGUGCAAGCGUUAAUCGGAAUUACUGGGCGUAAAGCGUGCGCAGGCGGUUUUGUAAGACAGAGGUGAAAUCCCCGGGCUCAACCUGGGAACUGCCUUUGUGACUGCAAGGCUAGAGUACGGCAGAGGGGGAUGGAAUUCCGCGUGUAGCAGUGAAAUGCGUAGAUAUGCGGAGGAACACCGAUGGCGAAGGCAAUCCCCUGGGCCUGUACUGACGCUCAUGCACGAAAGCGUGGGGAGCAAACAGGAUUAGAUACCCCAGUAGUCCCUGUCUCUUAUAC